CGAAAUUGAGGGCUUCGGUUCUUGGUUUAGUGGCGCNCGGGUGCGUAACGCGUAUGCAACCUACCUCUCACUGGGGGAUAGNCCGGGGAAACCCGGAUUAAUACCGCAUAAGAUAGCUGGCCUGGCAUCAGGUUGUUAUUAAAGCUUUGGCGGUGGGAGAUGGGCAUGCGUGCCAUUAGCUGGUUGGUAGUGUAACGGACUACCAAGGCUUCGAUGGNUAGGGGCUCUGAGAGGACGGNCCCCCACACUGGUACUGAGACACGGACCANACUCCUACGGGAGGNAGCAGUAGGGAAUAUUGGGCAAUGGCCGCGAGGNUGACCCAGCCAUGCCGCGUGCANGAUGAAGGCCUUCUGGGUUGUAAACUGCUUUUNUCAGGGAAGAAAACGCUCCUGCGGGAGUAACUGACGGNNCCUGAUGAAU
rnacentral:rRNA from 1 species